GGCCCUGGCUGACUUAACCUAAAAAUUCCAACGGUGUCAGAAUGGAGUGUUCAAAAAUUCAAAAAAUCUUCUACCUUCGAGUUUCUGAAAUUGAGACUACGGGAGUGCACCAAUCGAUUUCUUAUGAAAAACUGCAUGUAUAUAAAUUACUGACAAAAACGAUCAAUGUCCGUAAAAUUCUGCUUCAUUUGAACUUAGUUUACUAUUUAAUAACAGUGAUAUUUGUAGAUCAAAAUUUCAUGUACCUAUUUUGAGGAAAAUUAACAAAAGACUAAGGAGACCAGAACAGGUGUACAAUAAUGAAGCCCUGCAAGACUUCACGAAGAGGAGAUCAAGAUGGGAUGAGAACAAAUUGUUCGUUGAUUUAGCAAACUAAGUUCCACUUCAACAUUAAUGUGAGUAAUUUUUUUUUUGACAUAACAGUUAUGAGAGGGAGAAACAAUGUCUUUGACCGAAUAUGUCAAGAGCCAUCGACCUUAGGUCCUUCAGCUCAGUACAAUUAAUAUAAAUCAAAUUUUAUUGAGAAACAAAAAGAACAAAUAAAUUUCUACAGUGUAUACACAAUGAUUUCAGGAAAGUUUGAAGGUUUUAAGUGUUUGUGUUGUCAGCUCUUCUCAAUUUUUAUAAUAGUGUAGCCGUGGGAAAUUUACUUCUCGUUCUUGAGUUCUCCUCAUCAUGAUAUAGAUGUAAUAUCGUCGUUGAGCUGAGAAAUCCUCGCAAGCGACAAAUAUCUGAUUUUACAGGAAGCACAUAAAACUGUUUUAUGACUUCAAUUCAUUUCAACAAUAUAUGAUUUUCUGGGAAACUGUAUAAG